rnacentral:lncRNA from 1 species
AAAAUACCAGGUUCUGGUAGAGACGGGGGUGGGGAGUGGUGAGGGGGUGUCCUUUUCUUGGAAGAACUGUGGAUUGCUCCUGGUUUUGCUCCCCUGACUUCUGACGAUGCAACAAUACUGAUGGCUUCAAGGGUCUAGGGAAGGAAGGCAACUGAGACACAGACACAGACUUUACAACUCAAAGAGCUGGAGUUAUUGCCUUUACCAUAUGUAAAUGGAGAAAAAUACAGAAAAUCAAGUAAAAUAACUGCACCGAUUUGACCGGAUCGUCUUAAAAAAGGACCUUUCUCCCAAGAAAAGACCAGAAGAGAAUUAAUUCCAUCUGGCUCCGUUCCACGAAGUUUUAAAAGUGUGCCCGUUUGGAGGUGAGUCAGUCUGUGUGUUGGUCUACACUGCAGCUGCUUGAGUUUCCUCUGGGUCCCCCUUUGCAUCCGUCUGGUAGCAUUGCUACCUAACCUGCCUAGCCCAGGGCACCACUCAUGCAGCCAGUUCCCAGGCAGACAGGGCUCUCAGUGGAGAAGGCUCAGGUAGUGUGCAGCCAGCCCGAGCUUUGAUGCAGAACAGGAGAGGCCGCACUUUGGUUUUCAUACUUAGGCUCCUGACUGGAUCUCAAUGAAGCCACAGCCCAAUCCCCCAAACAGGGUUCCCAGUGCACUAUGAAGCUAGCUGCCAGCCCAGCCCAGCCAAGAACCCUGGAGGCUGCAGACACAUGUUGGCUCUCUUUCAGGACUUGUGGUGGUCUUCUUCCCUCCCCAGUCUCGCAGGUUUUAUUUGAAAGACCUGAGCCCCAGCUUUCAACUCCUUCCUCAGCUCUCUGAUAAAAAGCAAACAGAAUCAGCUCUUACAGCUUUGCCUGGAGCUGAGGCUCACACCGCCCACAAAGGCAGGCAGGCCAUCAAAGCACUGGAGCUCAGGUGUGUGGCCUGAGACCAAGGUGCAGGUGGGAAGGAGACUGUGUGUGUCCCAGCAAUGGCUCUGGCAUCCUCCAGGGUCAUUUUCUUCAGCUGCGGCCCCUAUGCCAGGCCUGUGGCCACUGCCCUGGCUGUGCCUGACCUUCUUGCAGACCCGUCUUGAGUGCCAGCAAACCCUGCAGACAGCCUGAUACCUGCAGACAACAUCUUAAUUGCCCUGUAAGACAGUUUGGCUGCUGAGCCCCUUUUGUGGGCAGGCACAGUUUGAACUUCAAAGAGUUUUGUAAAGUUUACCACAGCCCUAGGAGCGACAGGAUAAUUUUGGUGUCGUUGGAGAGGAGGCUUGGCGGGGCUCCUAACUCUGCUCUGGUCUACAAGCCCCAGGGGCACCCUGGUCUGUGGGACUCACCCAAUGAAGCCCUCUUCCCAACCAGGGAAGGCCGCCAACUCCGCUUCAAUGGCGCCUGACUCCAGUUCUACCACAAGGCUGGGCCAGGGCGUGGGUUGGAGACCCAGCUGAGUUCCCUGCUCCCCAGAGACCUUGGAGGAAGCAAGCCACACACCGGUAUGUCUGGAGAGGCGUGUGCUGAUUCUCGGGCUCACCCCAGGAAGAAAAACCUGUGCCUCUUCACCUUCCAAAGCAGUGAGAUGUCAGAAGAUAACUCACUCAUAAACCAGGAGAUGGUAAUCCUGGAGUCAGACUCUGCUGGACUUUGGGUAAGGGUAGCAUGGCACAGGCAUUCUCAGAUCCAGUUUCUCUACCUCAGCAGUGAGGCUGGCAUUUGGUGGUUUACUACCUCUCUUUGGGAGGAGGCAUGCCUGUGACAUGCCUGUCCCCGACUCUCAUGGGACCAGGGAGCAUUGAGCGUCCUCUGCCUGGUGGGCUCCCAGCUCCUGCAAACAGAGGCUUCUGACUGGAGUUUGAGGAAUGCAGGGAGGCCUGGGCGGAGCUACUGCAGACUAGGGGAGCCCUGGGGAGCAGCUGCCACAAACUGGAGCAGGGCUGGACCUUCCUCAACUAUGGCAGGAAUGUCAGCAUGUACUCUUUGGGGUAGGAAGGCUGAAGCAGCCAUUUUUAGCAGCUGUGUGGCCCAGCCCUUCCUUUGCCAAUACGAAGGGCUGGGUGGCUCCAGGCCACAGCUCUGGAAUGUGACAGGUCACACUGUACUUUAUGGUGGUGGCAGGGGACAAAGUAUGAAGAAGCCAGGAGGCAGAGGGAGAGCAUGCAUGCACCCAGGGGACCCGCCCUGCCCUGGUAAGACUCUUAUCAGCACACUCCAGCUGUGCAGAAGCUUGCCCCCCCCCCCCUUCCUGUGGACACAGACCCUCAUGCCUGCCCUGCAGGCCUUUGGCCUUCGAGAACUCUCAGAACCAAUUGAAAGGCACCCAGUGCUGUGGGGCUGGUGUGCAAGGCGAGGCCUUAAAGUAUCCUGAGGACUACUUGCUGUCCCCAUCCAUGGUCACUCUGCUGGCCAGCUGCCAGCCUCCUUAAGGAUCCUUUAGAUUAAAACAGGUUUUAGAGGCAA